rnacentral:rRNA from 1 species
UACAGAGGGGGCAAGCGUUAUUCGGAAUUAUUGGGCGUAAAGGGCGCGUAGGCGGCCUGGCAAGUGGAAGGUGAAAUCCCUCGGCUUAACCGAGGAACUGCCCUCCAAACUGCUUGGCUUGAGUCCGGGAGAGGUGAGUGGAAUUCCCAGUGUAGCGGUGAAAUUCGUAGAUAUUGGGAAGAACACCGGUGGCGAAGGCGGCGACCUGGUCCUUGACUGACGCUGGGGCGCGAAAGCGUGGGGAGCAAACAGG